CUAUCCAACACUGGAACUCUUCCAAGUCAAGAGGGAUUAAGGCCUGUGGAUAACCCAUCUCCUGAGGUAAUCCUGACAGAGGGGAGCAGCAUAAUUAACCCUGGGCUGAUACAGCAGCCUCCCUGCAGCGACCCUCAGACCACUGACAAGAGGCUCCGCAGGCAAUUACAUCAGCCUUGAGGGUACUCAAAACACUCAGCCGCCCUCCACUCCGCAGGGGUCACAGACUCAUCCUCCUCCUAUCCACAAUAGCAAGGAGCAGGACCAGUUGCUAGAGGAGAUACAAAGGAGGAUGGUCCAGCUGCAGGAAGCUCUGGAUGAAAAGAACCAGAAUAGCAGCAAAGGUUGUCUGAAAGCGCUCUGGUUCAAGAAGAAGACGCCAGAGAAGAAACCAGAGGGAACAGAGAAGAAGAAGAAAUGGUUGACACAAAGGAAGAGGAAGGGGUGGAUGUGGGGUUGAGGAUCAUAUUUUCCAUCAUAUUGAUCCUCCCAAAAAAACUGGUAUCAUCAGUUUGAAAUGUAAACAUAACUAUACAAAUGAAUCAACAGGAAUGGUCUAUGGUGUUUGAUCCUUUGAAGAAUGAACACAGCAUGAGUUCACUGUCCUAGUCAGCUUAGACCCUGUGCUGAUAGGGGAGGGGGAGUGUAAAAUACAAGAUGUGCCAGUUACUACUAAUGGACAUAAGAGUGCCCUAACUUAAAAUGUACACAGUAAAAAUGCUUUAUACUCAGUGUAGCCUACACUUUGAGUAGUGGACUCCAAUCAUUCACUUGAUAGGUUCUACUGAGUUAUUAGGUUCUUCAACAUCAUUAGAGCCCAAACUGUCUUU